CUCCAGCCACUUUUGCAGAAAAAGACCUAUGGUAGUCAUAGAAUGCUGAACCACCAUAUUUGUUGCCCAGGUCUACCAGCUUGUGCAUUUAGAGAUCGAACUCCUCUCUUCUGUUGGGAUAGACCGUACAGACGACAUCCCUGUAAAUACCAAAUGCUAGAACAAAUUCAGGGAUAGUCAGUUUUCUGUUUAGGCGGGCAUCCCUAGAUCUGACAAUAACAGAAACAUCAUCAUAAGCAUACGUUUUAUGUUCCACAAUGUCCUGGGAGGCAAUCAAC